UAUCUCUCCUAAUAACAAUUUUGUGUUGUUAAUAGGGACUUGGGGUCUUAAUCUCGUCGGAAACCUUCAUUGGCAACCGGUGAACCCUUUAAAUAUAGUAAGCUCCCAUCUUUUCCACUAUGGAAAUACGCAAACUUGGGGAUGGCGUCGUAGCAAUCUUUUGUAUUGUCGAAGCGCCUACAACAUACCUCUAAUCUGCGGUGCUAAUCCAUACUAGGUGGGCGAAGCUUAACGACUGGCAAAGUGCCAUGCUCUGUUUACACUGGAGCACACGAACAA
rnacentral:misc_RNA from 1 species